rnacentral:lncRNA from 1 species
AGAUCUUUGUCUUUCUGAGACUAAGUCUCUGCUCUCCCGUCUGCCACUAUGCAUCAAAUUUAUUAAGCUUCUGAGCACUGUUCAGACACGCAUGUGGUUUCAGUUUUCAUGAAGGACUGAGCACGGGACCAUCCACAUGCAAGUCACCUCCUGCAGAAAACCAACAGCACGCCACAGCUGGUAGGUAUCUUUCUGGAUAUCAAGGACAUUCUGAAUAUCCAAGGAGGAGAUCAUUUAGGCUGCAAAGCCACUGCAAACUGAAAUCAAGGGAAAGCUAGUUGACAGUUUCUUGGAGAGUGGAGAGGUUAAGUCAAUGAUUUACCAAAAGUGAGGAACUCCAGAAGUGAGGAAGGGUGGUUAGAGCACAGAGCACUUGGAGUCCCUAAAGGCUCAGGCAACUUUUCUUGCUCUACUGCAGCCUUUUAGGACCCAUCACUCAACAGCAGCAGUCUUAAGGACUAGCAAUGUUACAUGAAACAGGGACAAUGGUACCUCUGCAUGUCACAGGGACGUGAGGCAUUCAAAACACAGUGAUCCCAGAAGAGCUUUACAUGGACAUUAAAAUUAUUAGAUUUCCUUUUAAGCUCCACAUACUCCAAAAAGGGCAAUAUGGAGUACCAACAAUUCAAUUCCGAGUUAGAAGAGAGCCUUAAUUCACAAACACAGAUCUCAGGCCUCUGUAAGAUUUGGAGGAUUUAAGCAGCAAUCAUACUUCAUCAGUUCACAUUUCUUCUCCUCAGCCUUCAAAUAAACAUGAAACAUACUGACCCA